rnacentral:lncRNA from 1 species
UACAAACACUGGGAGGUACAUGUUGCGUUGAAGACUCAUUAGUCAAUUUUCCUUUCUCAUGUGUGUCUCUCUUCUUUUAGAUGGUGGCGGUGUCCACCAUUUGGGCUCCAUUCCGGCACAGUAGAUCAGAAACCACAAAACUCAUGUUAGGGUUUUCAUAUGCAAGAGAAAGAGACUAAGAGAGAGAGAAAGACCUUACGGUGUACAAAAGGAGAGAGACAGGCGGUGGGGUUUAGGGUUUCGCCUCUUCCACGACUUCUUCGAAACUAUUCAAAGAGAGAGAACAAUGUAGUGGCUCUGGAAUAGAGAGAGAAGGAUGACAGAUCAGAAUCCUUGUCUGCCACCGAUCUGUUGUUGAAAGGUGUAGAAGAACAAAAGGAGACAGGUCUUUCGAGGCAGCGCCCACUUCCGAUUUCAUCAGCAAUUGCUAAGUAUACGGAACAAAACAUCUGAUAUACAAACUGUUUCAUCAAGGAGCAAAUUUUGGUUGCAGAUUGUUUAGGCAGUAGUUUUGACCAUAACCAAUAAGGAGCAAUAAAGUUUCAGCAGCUGAUUUUCAUGUCAACAUUGGACAAAACACUAGGUAUGAAUCCAUGUCUCUUGAUUUUUUUGUGCUCGAAUUAUUAGACCAUUAAAAUGCUCAUUUUUAAAAAGAAAAUAAUUCAUGAAAUUAACACCCAGUGUUCAAAUUUGAAUUUCCUACAAGGACCUUUUAAUUCAUCUACAGCAGUCACACGUUGUGACGGUUGUGUUGUUGUUUGCAUUGUUUUUCUUUUUAUAUGAAAUUAAGUUAGACUGAUGAUGGGGUACGGUACUAAACCCGACCUAAGUGUACUAAACCCGACCCAAGCGGUCGGGCUGCCAUUACUUAUUGCUUUUAUUAUAAUAUUUAUUAUUACUGUUGCUUACUAACC